UGGGAGAUAGAUACACGAGAAUUUAAUUAAUCUCGUCACGGAUUCUCCCUAAAUUAAAAAAAGCCUUCUGAUGACUGUAAAUUGUAAAGAAUUAGUUUACAGACAGAUACGAGGCUUACAUUU